GACGAACGCUGGCGGCGUGCUUAACACAUGCAAGUCGAACGGUGAAGCUCCAGCUUGCUGGAGUGGAUCAGUGGCGAACGGGUGAGUAACACGUGAGCAACCUGCCCCAGACUCUGGAAUAAGCGCUGGAAACGGCGUCUAAUACUGGAUACGAGAUCAAGCCGCAUGGUUAUGGUCUGGAAAGUUUUUCGGUUGGGGAUGGGCUCGCGGCCUAUCAGCUUGUUGGUGAGGUAAUGGCUCACCAAGGCGACGACGGGUAGCCGGCCUGAGAGGGCGACCGGCCACACUGGGACUGAGACACGGCCCAGACUCCUACGGGAGGCAGCAGUGGGGAAUAUUGCACAAUGGGCGAAAGCCUGAUGCAGCGACGCCGCGUGAGGGAUGACGGCCUUCGGGUUGUAAACCUCUUUCAGCAGGGAAGAAGCGAAAGUGACGGUACCUGCAGAAGAAGCACCGGCUAACUACGUG
rnacentral:rRNA from 1 species